rnacentral:tRNA from 1 species
GGGCGAGUGGUGGAACGGUAGACACGCUGGCUUCAGGUGCCAGUGCGCGGUAAGCGCGUGGGGGUUCAAAUCCCCCCUCGCCCACCA